CCUACGGGAGACAGCAGUGGGGAAUAUUGCGCAAUGGGCGAAAGCCUGACGCAGCGACGCCGCGUGAGGGAUGAAGGUCUUCGGAUCGUAAACCUCUGUCAGCAGGGAAGAACGGUCACUGUGCUAAUCAGCAGUGAAUUGACGGUACCUGCAAAGGAAGCACCGGCUAACUCCGUGCCAGCAGCCGCGGUAAUGCGGAGGGUGCGAGCGUUAAUCGGAAUUACUGGGCGUAAAGCGCUCGUAGGCGGUAUGUCAAGUCAAGGGUGAAAUCCCCGCGCUCAACGUGGGAACUGCCUUAGAAACUGGCAAACUGGAGUGUGUGAGAGGAUAGUGGAAUUCCAGGUGUAGGAGUGAAAUCCGUAGAUAUCUGGAGGAACAUCAGUGGCGAAGGCGACUAGCUGGAACAUAACUGACGCUGAGGAGCGAAAGCGUGGGUAGCAAACAGGAUUAGAUACCCUUGUAGUC
rnacentral:rRNA from 1 species